UGCAAUAGUAUAGAAUUAGCAUUUCAGAGCUUUAAGAUAGUAGUGUAUCAACCUGAUUGUUCUCAUUUUUGCCUGAUUAGCUAUAUUACUAAUGCUACACAAUUGUUUCAUGUCUAGGAAAAACGUGCGAAGAGCAAUCUCAUUUUGUUUUAUACAUUUCGGAAGCAAGAAAAAUACAAAGUGUCUGGAAAUGUGCCCGGAGUGUUGCUACUGCUGUUGGUGAGCUGCUGCUAACUAGAACUUGCCCUGCUGCCAUGCUGCUGCUUUUGCUAUGACUGGAUGACCAAAACUUACGCUGCCAUGGUGCUGCUGUUGUUGUAGUGACUGAAAUAUGACUACUUCUUUUAAUUUGAUGGAAGUAUGUUUGGUAUGGCUGGUAAUUGAUGGAUUUAAUGGAUGGAUGUAUGAACCAUUGUAUGGUUGUUGAUUUAUUGAACUAUUGUAUGGUUGUGUGAACCAUUAGUUGAA